GUGAGCGUUGGUAGCCUUCGCUACGAAGGUUUUAUGGAUAUAUUUUGUAUUUUGUUAUUAUUACGUGUUUUUUCAAAAGAGAAGAAAAUUCAUAUUUAUAUUUAUUUUGGUUAGCAAGAAGAGCAGAUGAAAUGCUAAUAAUGAAAAUUGAAAAGUGUGGAAAGUUGAAGGGAGCAUAGCGUGCCCUAGUCACAAUCUGUCGUCAGAACCCCGUGGCUUUUAGGAAGGAACGAUACUCCAAUCCAACCCACAACGCCAGCAGCACUCCGUGUCUCGGUCCGGUGACGCUCUGUAGGAAAGAGUUGGCGGCAAAGGCCGCAGGAAACGCGUUGCAGGAACGGCAGGAAUAAAUCGCAAAGACGGCGGCGAACAGCUAACCUGAUUGUGGAGAUUAAGCAGAAAAGGUGGGACAGCUGCACUGCCGUGGGCUGGCGUUUUGACGUCCUUUCCCUCCCCGGGGGCGGAAAAUUCUCAUUCCAGACUCCUUCGGCAGCAAGUUCAUCAAGCGAGCACACGAGAUAUUUCACACAUGAGCUAAUAUUUGCCUUGGGCCCAAGAUCAAUAUACUCAUCGAUCGGACCCUCAAUCAGCACACAGAGAGACCGCAGCCGCCGUUCGGAACGACCACUCGUAAAACCAAUCAAGCGUAAACAAAAACUAACUGCACCGGCAUGCAUAGCGGGCCCAGAAUGGACCGUUCCGUUCCGUCCUGCCACGGCUAGCUGGCAGCCUAGCCCCUUGGGUUGGUUACCAGGAUAAAAAGCUCAGUUAUAAAUGGGCAGCAAUUUAUCUGAGCAGCCCCUCUCCCUUUCUCUCGCACUCCUGGAACCACACGGGCCAAAGUCACAGAGUAACGCUGUCGCGCUCAGUGGUUUGGUAUGAAAAUUAAACGUGGCAACGGCGAGGAAAGACAGCCAGUCCGCUGCUGCCACCAGAAGAUCAUGGGUUUUCAAUUGGUUACGAACUGCAAAACGGGAGAGGAAAUUUGUUUGCAAUUGGAAAGUACAAAUGAAGUCUAAUUCGCUAGCAUGGAUCAUUUAUUGCCUGUGGAGAUGCGGUUCUUAUAUGGUUUUAAAACAAUUUGAAAACUUGAGGUGGUAUUUGGAAUGAUUUUUUUGUUUGAAAUAUAGAACAGUGUCAAA